CACGUCUCCUUUUUUUUCUUCCUAAAAAAAUGACGUGUUCUUUUGCCAUCUUCUUUCACACGCUUAAUUAAUUGCUUUUCAGCUUUUACAACCUUUCUUUGCCAUUCAUUUUCUCUCGAAAGGCUAAAUUAAUUGUUUUUUGGGCUUUACAUCCAUUGUUUUGCCAUUCACCAAUUGUAACACACAACAUCUCUCCUCUAAAACCCUAGAAAUUGUCUACUUCGCAGUGAAGAUCCAAACGGUUAAGCUCCGAAAAGCCCAAGUAUCACAAUCGUUGGCAUAUGGUCACAGCUUUAUCUGCACAAUUGUCCAGGCGCUCGGUGGCUUACGUGCAUUGUGUGUAUAUAGCGAGAGGAGAGGGGAUUUGCAUUUUUAGGCUUAAUUUUGCACCUAAUAGAAAUGGAGGAAAUUGAGUUCUGGGGAUGGGAAUAAUGGGAAAGGCUAUGUCAAUGAACUUGCUUUACCAUGGAUUUAUGCUCGUUGUUUGGACUUGCACUCUAUUUCAUGUAAAUUGUUUCAUAGUAAUUAUGGGUCCAUUUUUGACAUGUUUCAUGUGUGUUUUUCUUCUUUGUUUGUGUGUAGGAGAACAUUCCCAUUGAGGAAGUGUUUGAGAACUUGAGAUCUACCAGUGAGGGUCUUUCAACUAAGGCUGCUCAAGAAAGAUUAACCAUUUUUGGGAAAACAAAGUCUGGGAAAAGAAGGUUUAUAUUACAUUUUCCGACCCCCUUUUCAACUUUGAUUAUUAUUAUGUCAUGUAUAGUCUUCAAUUUUCCUUGCACUUUAUGUACUUUGAGUAUUUAAUGCUUACUGUUGCACUAAAAGAUAGAUAUUUUUUUUUUUGUUGGCAAUGAAAUUCAAUUUCAUCCUCAAUACCAGUAGAUUCUAUCUAUUUAAUUGACAUUUUUCAUGUAAAAUAAAGUCAAACGAAUACCAAAAAAUACUUUUAUUUCAACAUUUUUCACGUGAAAAAUUAUAUUAAUCAAACACAAUAAUUUACAACUUUCAAAAAAAUAAUUUUUAGACAAUUCAAUUCUUUGGUAUUCAUUUUCUUUUCACCCAAAUUCAAUUUUUGCAAUCAAACGAACCCUUACUAUUUUUACUUCUUCCUCUUUUGUUCAUCCCAACUUCCAAUUGCCAAGUUUAACAUAUAUCUUGAUAAUGCUUGUUCUGAGAUUAUGAAAUUUAUGAAUAAAAUUAAAUGAUGGGUCCAUCUAAAUAAUUUCGAUUCCUUACUUUGCACCAAGCUGAGACUUGAUAGGGCUUGAUGGCAUGCAUUUUGAAAUCAAAAAUUUUGAUUCAAAUAACUAUCCAAACCACAUUGUUGAGUUAUCCAAUAUAGAUUACUUUCGCCCGUUAAAUUACUGAAUAUAAUCCAAACUCCUAAUAGAUUAAAAUAUUUUCUUUUGUUGUAAUUGUUUAUUUCCUUAUUAGUCAAUUAGAUCAACAGAAAAUCCAAAAAGAAUUGUUUAAUUGGUUGUGUUUCUAGAUUUUGUAAUUAAUUCAUCAAGGUUUGGAUAGUUCGUAAUCUUUUUAUUUAUUUAUUUUUUUUUUUUUUUUGAAACAUGAAAUUUUUAUAGCCAAUCCGAUAGUCUUCUGAUUUUUUUUUUUAAUUUUAAAUUUGUGGAAAAAGUCAUUUUCAUUUGGCCAAUGGUGCUCAUUAAAUAUUCCCUCAAUUUUUUAUCUACUAUUUGGAAGGAACAUAACAGAAUCUCCAAGUGAAUUGGUUUAAUUUGAGAGGAUGAUAUGAUGUAUUGAAAAGACGAUUGUACAACGUAUUAACCCCUAUCUUUACAGGAUAAAUUGUCCACUUUACAAUAAUCAACCAACAACAUGCGCCCCCUUCCCAAUAGAAACAUCGAGAGAGCUAAAUUUAAUGGAUUUAUUGCAGGUAGGAGCACCUUUCGAAAGUUGCAAAAACAUUGUUGCAUCUAACACAAAUCCUGCAACCCCUUGGUACUCUCGAUAGUUUCUCAGGAUCUGUGCAGUUGACAUGCGCUGCUUUAACAGUCAGUUUUUCCGGGGUAAUUGUUUUGUGCUUAUUCCUCUUCUUCUCAUCACAUUCUCU
rnacentral:lncRNA from 1 species